GGCGAGCUGGCCAAAAGGUAAGGCACUGGUUUCCGGGGUCGUUGUGGUCGCCAGAGAUUCAGGGUUCGAGCCCCUGGUUCGUCG